rnacentral:rRNA from 1 species
UACGUAGGGUGCAAGCGUUGUCCGGAAUUAUUGGGCGUAAAGAGCUCGUAGGCGGCUUGUCACGUCGGGUGUGAAAGACCGGGGCUUAACCCCGGUUCUGCAUUCGAUACGGGCUAGCUAGAGUGUGGUAGGGGAGAUCGGAAUUCCUGGUGUAGCGGUGAAAUGCGCAGAUAUCAGGAGGAACACCGGUGGCGAAGGCGGAUCUCUGGGCCAUUACUGACGCUGAGGAGCGAAAGCGUGGGGAGCGAACAGG